rnacentral:rRNA from 1 species
UACAGAGGUCUCAAGCGUUGUUCGGAUUCAUUGGGCGUAAAGGGUGCGUAGGUGGCGGGGUUAGUCAGGGGUGAAAUCUCGGGGCUCAACCCCGAAACUGCACUUGAUACUGCCUUGCUAGAGUACUGGAGAGGAGAUUGGAAUUUACGGUGUAGCAGUGAAAUGCGUAGAUAUCGUAAGGAAGACCAGUGGCGAAGGCGAAUCUCUGGACAGUUACUGACACUGAGGCACGAAGGCCAGGGGAGCAAACGGG